rnacentral:rRNA from 1 species
AUUGAACGCUGGCGGCAUGCCUUACACAUGCAAGUCGAACGGCAGCACGGGGGCAACCCUGGUGGCGAGUGGCGAACGGGUGAGUAAUACAUCGGAACGUGCCCCGUAGCGGGGGAUAACCAGUCGAAAGAUUGGCUAAUACCGCAUACGCUCCACGGAGGAAAGCAGGGGAUCGAAAGACCUUGCACUAUGGGAGCGGCCGAUGCCCGAUUAGCUAGUUGGUGAGGUAAAAGCUCACCAAGGCGACGAUCGGUAGCUGGUCUGAGAGGACGACCAGCCACACUGGGACUGAGACACGGCCCAGACUCCUACGGGAGGCAGCAGUGGGGAAUUUUGGACAAUGGGCGCAAGCCUGAUCCAGCCAUGCCGCGUGCGGGAAGAAGGCCUUCGGGUUGUAAACCGCUUUUGGCAGGAACGAAACGGCGCGAGCUAAUACCUCGCGCUAAUGACGGUACCUGCAGAAUAAGCACCGGCUAACUACGUGCCAGCCGCCGCUGUAACAC